CCUACGGGAGGCAGCAGUGAGGAAUAUUGGUCAAUGGCCGGAAGGCUGAACCAGCCAUGCCGCGUGAAGGUCAGUGCCCUAUGGGCGUUAAACUUCUUUUGUGCGGGAGCAAUAAUGGUCACGUGUGGCCAGACGAGAGUACCGUACGAAUAAGCAUCGGCUAACUCCGUGCCAGCAGCCGCGGUCAUACGGGGGAUGCAAGCGUUAUCCGGAUUUAUUGGGUUUAAAGGGUGCGUAGGCUGUGAGGUAAGUCAGCGGUGAAAUGCCCCCGCGCAACGGGGUGAAGUGCCAUUGAUACUGCCGUGCUGGAAUGCGGAUGCCGUAGGAGGAAUGUGUGGUGUAGCGGUGAAAUGCAGAGAUAUCACACAGAACACCGAUUGCGAAGGCAUCUCACGAAUCCGCGAUUGACGCUGAUGCACGAAAGCGUGGGUAUCAAACAGGAUUAGAUACCCGAGUAGUC
rnacentral:rRNA from 1 species